GGAGGGUUAAGGGAACUCGACACCCUCACAUCUCAGCGCCGUAUGCUCUCUUCUCAUAGUUUUCUCAGAAGAGGAUUUUAAUUCAACAAGCUCCUUAAUGUUGGUUCUCCUUUCUGAAUGGCUUUGCUCUGUAGGCAUCACUUUACUAGCGUGUGAGAUGAGUGCAAUUGUGUGGUAGUUUGAGCAUUCUUUGGCAUUGCCUUUCUUUGGGAUUGGAAUGAAAACGGACCUUUUCCAGUCCUGUGGCCACUGCUGAGUUUUCCAAAUGUGCUGACAUAUUGAGUGCAGCACUUUGACAGCAUCAUCUUUCAGGAUUUGAAAUAGCUCCACUGGAAUUCCAUCACCUCCACUAGCUUUGUUGGUAGUGAUGCUUUCUAAGGCCCACUUGACUUCACAUUCCAGGACAUCUGGCUCUAGGUGAGUGAUCACACCAUCGUGAUUAUCUGGGUUGUGAAGAUCCUUUUGUACAGUUCUUCUGUGUAGUCUUGCCACCUCUUCUUAAUAUCUUCUGUUAGGUCCAUACCAUUUCUGUCCUUUAUUGAGCCCAUCUUUGCAUGAAAAUGUUCCCUUGGUAUCUCUAAUUUUCUUGAAGAGAUCUCUAGUCUUUCCCAUUCUGUUGUUUUCCUCUAUUUCUUUGCAUUGAUCACUGAGGAAGGCUUUCUUAUAUCUCCUUGCUCUUCUUUGGAACUCUGCAUUCAGAUGCUUAUAUCUUUCCUUUUCUCCUUUGCUUUUCACUUCUCUUCUUUUCACAGCUAUUAUUAAGGCCUCCCCAGACAGCCAUUUUGCUUUUUUGCAUUUCUUUUCCAUGGGGAUGGUUUUGAUCCCUGUCUCCUGUACAAUGUCAUGAACCUCAUUCCAUAGUUCAUCAGGCACUCUAUCUAUCAGAUCUAGGCCCUUAAAUCUAUUUCUCACUUCCACUGUAUAGUCAUAAGGGAUUUGAUUUAGGUCAUACCUGAAUGGUCUAGUGGUUUUCCCUACUUUCUUCAAUUUAAGUCUGAAUUUGGCAAUAAGGAGUUCAUGAUCUGAGCCACAGUCAGCUCCUGGUCUUGUUUUUGUUGACUGUAUAGAGCUUCUCCAUCUUUGGCUGCAAAGAAUAUAAUCAAUCUGAUUUCGGUUUUGACCAUCUGGUGAUGUCCAUGUGUAGAGUCUUCUCUUGUGUUGUUGGAAGAGGGUGUUUGCUAUGACCAGUGCAUUCUGUUGGCAAAACUCUAUUAGCCUUUGCCCUGCUUCAUUCCACAUUCCAAGGCCAAAUUUGCUUGUUACUCCAGGUGUUUCUUGACUUCCUACUUUUGCAUUCCAGUCCCCUAUAAUGAAAAGGACAUCUUCUUUGGGGUGUUAGUUCUAAAAGGUCUUGUAGGUCUUCAUAGAACCGUUCAACUUCAGUUUCUUUAGCAUUACUGGUUGGGGCAUAGACUUGGAUUACUGUAAUAUUGAAUGGUUUGCCUUGGAGAUGAACAGAGAUCAUUCUGUCGUUUUUGAGAUUGCAUCCAAGAACUGCAUUUCGGACUCUUUCGUUGACCGUGAUGGCUAGUCCAUUUCUUCUGAGGGAUUCCUGCCUGCGGUAGUAGAUAUAAUGGUCAUCUGAGUUAAAUUCACCCAUUCCAGUCCAUUUUAGUUCGCUGAUUCCUAGAAUGUCGAUGUUCACUCUUGCCAUCUCCUGUUUGACCACUUCCAAUUUGCCUUGAUUCAUGAACCUGACAUUCCAGGUUCCUAUGCAGUAUUGCUCUUUACAGCAUCGGACCUUGCUUCUAUCACCAGUUACAUCCACAGCUGGGUAUUGUUUUUGCUUUGGCUCCAUCCCCUCAUUCUUUCUGGAGUUAUUUCUCCACUGAUCUCCAGUAGCAUAUUGGGCACCUCCCAACCUGGGGAGUUCCCCUUUCAGUGUCCUGUCAUUUUGCCUUUUCCUACUGUGUAGGUAUAUGUGUAUGUAUACAUAUACCUGUAUCUAUACAUGUAUCUACGUCUAUGCCUGUAUCUAUCAAGGAGGAAAAGCCCAGAGACAUUAAUCUCUUUGAUUUGUCUCCUACGAUGGGAUAGUGGAUCCUGUUCACCAGGGUGAGAGAGACAUGAAUUGAAUCGUAUGAGGAGCUAAGUCCCCACCUGUAUCUGAGACCAGUCCUGGCGUCUGGCUGCCCAAGCCCAGCUGGCCCUAUGCCCGCUCCUGCUCUGGCUGAAAAGAGCAGGCAGGUUUCCAGCUGUCCGGCAGGAUGAGGGUGGCCGGGUGACCAAGGGGUGCUUGGAGCCCUGAUAUGUGUGUAUGUGUGUUACUGGCUGGCCCGCGUGGGUCUCAGCGCUGCGUCCACCUGCAGAGCCCAUUUCCAUCUCUUGCAUUCUGGCCUCUGAACCACGGGCAGCAGGAUCUCUGCCGACAGCCCGACGUAAUGGUUUAUGCUUCUCUCCUUCAGCUGAUUUGUUCUUGUCUCUGGUCACUAAUGCACUGCAAGAACUGGUGAUCAGACGCCUGUCACAGAGCACCAAGGUUGUGAUGGGUGUGGCUGCUACGGCAGAAACAGCAACGCUGAAACGGGUGGUGUGCACUACCGCGGGGCCUUGUGCAUUGGGUUCUCCCAGCGAGUUUCUUACUUUUUGACCAAAGAUGAUGUUGGUCUGCGAGACUCCUUUUUUAGAAACCUACAGAUUCCUUCCUUGCCAUAUUCACCAAGAAAGUAUAAUUUAGUUUACAUACAGUUUUCUUGGAUCGAAUAAAUCAGCUGAAAGCAAUCGUCUGUUUCUCCUGAUUUACUGAACUCUGUGUGACAGGCUCUCAGUCCAUCCACACCUCUACAAACGACCCAACUUUGCUCCUUUUAACGGCUGAGUCAUAUUCCAUUGUAUAUGCGCACCACAACCUCCUUAUCCAUUCGUCUGCUGCCGGUGGAGAUCUAGGUUUCUUCCACGUCUUGGCUACUAUAAACAGUGCUGCAGUGAACACUGAGGUACCUAUGUCAUUCUGAAUUGUGAUCUUUCCAGGGUUUAUGUGCUGCUGUGGGAUUGCUGGGUCCCCGCUUUGGAAGAGUAGUGGAAUUCAGAAAUAACACCCACCAGAUUGUUCAGUUCUCUGUGAGUGAGGCGUACGCUAUAUGUUUGUAUCUGGCACAGUAUGGUAUUUAGCGGUAUAGACCCUGGAGCCAGGCAUUCUGGGUUCACAUCCUGCCAGGAGCACUGGCAGGCCGUGUGGCCCCUCUGUGCUUCGGCUGCCCCAUCAGUAAAGCAACACGGGUCUCCCAGCUGUGAUGGCUGCAUGGGUGGGACAGCUGAGAGUUAGGACACAGCCUGGGCUGUGAGUACCAGAGGUCAAACCCAGUGCCCAGUGCCUCCUUGGCUCAGCACAAGUCUGUGAAUGAACAGCAGCAGUCUUCGACUGCUCACCUGGCUGAAUCCCCACAGGUAUCCUUACCUCUGGAUCAGAAAGGUAGGGACAUAGCUCUGGGUGGUGCGGGAGGGAAGAGACUGAUUGGAAUGACUGGCCAGGGAGGCUUUCUCUGGGAUUCUCCUAACAAUCCUGACUCUCCUGGCUCGAGAAGGCAGGGGUGGAGUCCUGUGCGUUUGUGAGGAGGUGGAGGCAUGGGAGGGAAGGGUCCUAUGAGACCUCAAACAAGAGAAAGGAUAGUCCUGACUCUGACCUUACGCAGGUCCACGCUGGCAGUAGCCACUAAGCUCCACCAGAGGGCGCCCUGGGGUUAGCAUCCCUGAGCCAGGAUUCGCUCACACCCUUCCAGGGGGUCUCAGCAGAACUUCUCAAGGGCUGUUCUUGUUCUCUAUUGAAUCUUUACCUCCUAGAGCCUUGGCGCUGUCAGCACCCACUCUUCAUUCUUUCCUGUGACCUCGAGCCUCUGGUUAAGAAUGAUGUCCUGUAUCAAUUCACAGUAUUUAGAGAUCAUGGUGAAUGAGAUGAGAUUCCUCAGAGGGGAUUGUAUGGGGUCUUCUAAGCAUUACGGAUGUGGCAGAGCCACUCACUGUCAGCCUGUCUUCAAUAUAUGUGUCUGUGUGCAUGUACGUAUGUGCGCGUAUAGACUCAUGAAUGUGAUAAGUGAUCAUAGAACCUCUUGAUAAAAGUGAGGACAGUGAAAAAGCUGGCUUAACACUCAACAUUCAGAAAACUAAGAUCAUGGCAUCUGGUCCCAUCACUUCAUGGCAGAUAGAUGGGGAAACAGUGGAAACAGUGACAGACUUUAUCUUUUGGGGCUCCAAAAUCACUGUAGAUGGUGAUUGCAGCUGUGAAAUUAAAAGACGCUUACUCCUUGGAAGAAAAGUUAUGACCAACAAAGACAGCAUAUUAAAAAGCAGAGGCAUUACUUUGCGAACAAAGGUCCAUCUAGUCAAGGCUGUGGUUUUUUCAGUAGUCAUGUAUGGGUGUGAAAGAAAGCUGGGCACUGAAGAAUUGAUGCUUUUGAACUGUGGUGUUGGAGAAGACUCUUGAGAGUCCCUUGGACUGCAAGGAGAUCCAACCAGUCCAUCCUAAAGGAAAUCAGUCCUGAAUAUUUAUUGGAAGGACUGAUGCUGAAGCUGAAUCUCCAAUACUUUGGCCACCUGAUGCAAAGAACUGACUCAUUUGAAAAGACCCUGAUGUUGGGAAAGACUGAAGGCGGGAGGAGAAGGGGACAACAGAGGAUGAGAUGGUUGGAUGGCAUCACCAACUCAAUGGACCUGAGUCUGAGUAAACUCUGGGAGUUGGUGAUGGACAGGGAAGCCUGGUGUGCUGCAGUCCAUGGGGUCGCAAAGAGUCGGACACGACUGAGUGACUCAACUGAACCGAGAUGUCCAUGCACUUUGAAAAUAUAAUGUUUAUAUUCAUGUUCCCUUAAACUAUAAAAUGCCUUACUUCUCUUACUGCUUGAGGCUUCUGGCUUGUUGUGUUCCCUCUACUUUCCCAAGACUGCAAUCUCCAGAACUUAACUUGUUACUGAAACCAAACUCGGUCCCUUCCCCUGAGUGCAGUAAAGUCAAUCUACCGACACCAGGUUGUAAAGAAGGAAAGGAGCGUUUAUUGCAGGUGCCAAGCAAUGAGUCCAGGAAAGCUAGUGCUCAGAACACUUGGGCUCCCUAACGGAGUUCUCAAGAAAGCAUCUUUAAAGGCCAGGUGAGGGAGGUGGGGAUCCAGGGUACACGAUCCGCUUGUGCAGUUCUCUGAUGGGCUGAUGGUGGUACCAGGGUGGUGUCACAGGAGUGAACAUUAUCAGUCCUCAGCCUCCAGGAGGCCUGGGGGUAUGUGCUCAUGGUCGUCGAGUACGUAACAUUUUCCAUUUGGUGGUGGUUUUAGCAUUUGUAAAAAAAAACUCAGAAAGUUUGAAGAGGGAAAUGUAAUUGGAAGACUUGUUCAGUGUAGAAGAUACUGGCACUUUGGAGAGGGCUCCAAGAGAACUCUAAGGGGUAGAGGAUGAAGGGAAAAGUGGACAAGGAAGAAGCUUCAGAGCUCAGAGUAAAGAGCCCACAUGCCCGCUGGCCUCAGACCCCAGAGGGGAGGUCCCUGUGUCAGGAAGCAUGCUGCCUGCAGCACGGCGAUGGUGAUGCUCUUGAGGACGAAGGUGCCCAGAGCUGGUGGCUGAGGGCAGCCUGCCACCCCCCUGUGACGCCACUGGGGUGCCUGCUUGCUGCUGCUCUGAAAAACAGACAAAGGGAAGGGGGAGAAAAAGGCCCUUCUUUCUCUCCCAACCAUGCAUCGCCCCGCCCACACUCCUAUUGUCCAACCUCAGGGCCAGCCAGCUGGCAACAGGAAAGCUAGCCUGCAGAGUCCAGCUCCAGUAUUACAAAGCGGGAGAAGGCUGGGGGAGGCGGGUGGAGCGGAAAGAUGUGAAAUUAAUAACUGGUACAGAUGGAAAGUACAUUUUUUCCUCCCAAGGAUGGAAGGAAGCCCAAAACACCAUCAUGUAAAAGGGAGAUAGAUUGACUCAGAGAGGCAUUUGCACCUAAAAACCGAAGGUUUGGGUGAAAACAUCUCUUGGAGCAAGGCUAUGAGAUGCAUUCUGCUUGCUGCCAAGGUAUUGGGUAAGCAAGACAGGAUGUUAUAAAGCCUAUUGUGCAAAAAAUGUGCAGAAUGCUGAGGGCUCUUCAACUGAGCAAAUGCCCAAUACGGAGUUGAUAUAGCUGAGAAAUGCAUUCUAGAAGAAAUGGAGUCAAAAGUCAAUCAUUGAAAGAUCGCUCUUCAGGGAGGCUCUUUAUUACUUUGAGAAACGAUGAUAAACUUUUUCUGUGCACAUAGCAUUUGGCAAGCCUCCCCCUCCCCCCUGCCCAACACUCGAGCUCUUGAUAUUUCUGGAGAGUCUAAGACUGAGGUUUGUAGGAUCUGGGGCACAGCCAUGAUGAGCUGUGAAGCCCCCUCUUCCUGCCAGAAGGGAGUGGGUCUGAGGGUGACGAGUGGGAAGGGUUGUUUCCAUGUGAUAGAGAGGCA
ensembl:lncRNA